UACGGGGGGGGCGAGCGUUGUUCGGAAUUAUUGGGCGUAAAGGGCGCGUAGGCGGUGCGGUAAGUCUGAUGUGAAACCUCCAGGCUCAACUUGGAGCUGGCAUCAGAAACUGCCGUGCUAGAGUGCGGGAGAGGAGAGUGGAAUUCCUGGUGUAGCGGUGAAAUGCGUAGAUAUCAGGAGGAACACCGGUGGCGAAGGCGGCUCUCUGGACCGCUACUGACGCUGAGGCGCGAAAGCCAGGGGAG
rnacentral:rRNA from 1 species